CUUAGUUCCAUGUUUGGAGUCAUGUGAGACAGGACAGACAACACUAGAAAGGGAAGAUAGAGCAGAAACAUCUUCCAGAGGAAUCUAGGUUUCCUUGAGAAGAAUAAAAUGGAAAGAGUGCAUGAAAUCUAGGACAAAGGAGAACUUGUGAGGAGGAAUAGAAGGGAUGUCAAGACUAUGAGAAAGCAGAGGUUGAUAGUGAUGUCACAAAGGUCUAGAGAUGAUGUUGAUAAGAAUGGAAUAUAUAGAGGUGAAGGUAAGGGAGCAAGAGGAGGAACGUGGAUAAAAAGAGUGAAGCAGUUCCUUACUUUCAUGAAGAUUAUAUUCUAAUGGAUGAACAAUAAACAAGCAUGCCUGAUGAUUGAUCCAGCAGCUUCACAGGACAAUUUCUAAGCUCACUUAUUCACCCUCCAAGGAAAGACAAUCGAGAAGAUGAAAGUGAAAUCAGAUAACUAAGAAUGGACACAGAAAUUAACCAGUAAUGGGCAUCUGUACUGUGACAGAAAACAUCUAAUGUUAUAAAGAAAGUGCACAAAAUGAAGCAGGAAUGGCGAACCAGGCAUCAAGAUAACCAUCUGAUUGUCUGUGAUUUGACCCCUCCAUGGCACUUCUUCUCUGCUGUCAUCCAUAUCCUAAAGCAAACAUACUCUUGACUUAAUUGGAGACUGAAGACAUCCCUAGGACAGGGUGGGACAGGCCAAAAGAGUCCACUCAUUUUCUGCUGAGGAUCAAGAUUUGUACUUCAUUCAAUGAAUACUACUAAGUACCCAUAAAGUACACAGAAGUAUACAUACCCCUUGUCAUUAGGGGAUGCAUUCAAGUAAGUCUUAUCCUUCAGUUCCUGGCUCCUUCGAUUAAAUCAGAGCAAAUCCUUGCUUCCAGAAA